AUGAAGUUAUGGCACCCCAAAUACUCCCCAUGUGUGCGCGCGCGCAUGCGGUGCCUAGGGUAGGUAGUAGAGUACUUCAUAUACCUGUACUAUUCAUGCUUCAACUUUGGGGUAGUUUUCAUGUGCAUACAACAUAUUGGACCUUGCAGGACCCUCUUGGCAUCCUGUUGCUGGAAAAAAACUACACAGCCGAAUCGUUUUUUUAUUUCUGAAACAAGAUUUCUAUUGCACAAGCCUUCUGAAACAGGAUAGUGUUUUCCAUUUCUUAAAGCUCAAAUCUUGUUGCGCAAAAUUGUAGAUCAAAAUUAGUGUCUGCAUGUCCUGGAUACCUAGCUAGCUAUGUUCCAGUUUGACAAUCAACUUUGUAGAUGCUCAGUUUGACAAAGUUUUUAUAAGAUGUUUAAUUUUUGGAUGGAACAAAAAAGGAAGCAUAGUUGAAAUGCAAUGCAAUCAGACUUGUAAAGGUCUUGCAUUGCACAAAAUGCUAAGGAUGAGGCCAGAAGAAGGUUCAAUGAAGUGAAAAAAUUACUCCUUACUUGGUCUGCAUGCAGUGAUCGACUACUGGUUUGCUUGUCAGGUUAGGCCAAAACAAAACGUUGUUGGUAAUUUUACGGUUUGUAACUGAUGCCCUUGCCACAAGAAAUUUAUUGAUGUCGCAAUUUUGUAGUCUAACCCUUCAGUCCUCAUAAGAAAUAAAAUAGACAUCUGAUUUGAACACUUGUACAUAUAUGUGUGCAAAACAGCUAAAUUAUGUACAGUAGGCCUCAAAAGAACAGUUACUUUUGCUGUUAAUUUGCAAGACAUUCUUAAUUUUGCCUCAAAAGAAUGACAAUUUUGUUACUCUCAGCAUUUAUUGUUGGUUACAAAUAGAGAAUUGGUAGUUGCUUAAAGAAAGACUAAAACCACAAGGUCACAUUUGAAGUUAUAGGUCGAUUUAGCGAGUCAUAAUAGACAAAAUAAUUUACUUAUCAUACUAAACUAUUGUGAUCUCGGUCCACACUUUUCGGAACCACUAUACUACCUAUUAGUUAAUUAGCAGCACGCUACUACCUAGAUGUAACUUUGUAGAUGCUUUUCUACUGUUAAUUGCAUCUUGCAUGAAUUUUUUGUUCUUCUUGCAGUUGUUCUGUUUCCCAUAGAAGCUGCAUCUUUCUAGAAGCUGCUACAUCAGAUUAAGUAAGUACACCCUGUUUGCCUAAAUUAUUGUUCAAGAGGCAGCUGAAACAAAAUUUCAUACACAGAAACAAUUAACAGGCAUUACCUUCAUUGUUAGCGUUGAUACUG
rnacentral:lncRNA from 1 species